rnacentral:rRNA from 1 species
UACGUAGGUGGCGAGCGUUGUCCGGAUUUAUUGGGCGUAAAGCGCGCGCAGGCGGUUGCCUAAGUCUGCUGUGAAAUCUCCCGGCUCAACUGGGAGGGGGCGGCGGAGACUGGGUGACUGGAGGGACCUAGAGGCCGGUGGAAUUCCCGGUGUAGUGGUGAAAUGCGUAGAGAUCGGGAGGAACACCUGUGGCGAAGGCGGGUCUCUGGACAGUUCCUGACACUGAGGCACGAAGGCCAGGGGAGCAAACGGG